CAGGCCUUCAUUCAUCACCCGAGCCGAUCUGUGAACCUACUAACUCCAUCACAAAAACAGGCAGUUAAUGAGACUGCAAGCAAGACGAGGUGAGCAUACCCUUCCCGCCGCGGCCAACGCUGCCACGCCCUUAAUCUCCCACGAUCCUCCGCCCCACCCCCAAUGCAACAACACCGCAACGCCCUUGAAAUGAGCUGCCACAGCAAUCCUCCCGGAAACAUCUGGAAAUGUCUUCAGUGUGAAAGGGGAGGAGGCUGUCCACUGUUGAGGACCAAUGGGAUCACGAAGAGGCUCCACGUCAUUACGCGGUAAGCCGACGUACGAUGCAGUGUGAACGGGAUCCUCAGAUUUAGCAAAGUCGUGGCGGGGGGUCGACCUACCUCAUCUUAUCCCCACCCACCGAAUCGGCGGGCGAACAGAAAACCACAUCCUCAUCCAUUGUACCCACUCGAGACCCCCUCCAACGUGCAGACCCAGAACGAGAAAGGACGAGUCCGUCUGUCAGUGCGCGCGAGCGUUCGUCCGUCCAUUGUUCCGUCCGUCCGUCCGUUCACCACCACCACCGAUUUGUUAGGUCUGCCAAUAAGUUCCACAACCAAGCUCAUCGUCAUCAUCAUAUGAAGUCAAAUGAAGAAGCUUGAGUUUAUGGCAAUUUAUCAUUGUGGGUGUUUCUCAUAGAACAAGGGCUUGACUCCAUUCCCAAGACGUGUGCCUCAUUUUAAGGCCGUGAGGGAAAGUCAAAAUCAGGCAAACAAUUUUGGACAUCCUCGUUUUUUGUGGGACACUCUUUUGGUAGAUGUAACAAUAUUUUUUUGUAAACCAUGUGGUGGAUCGAUUUAAGAUUUAGGAUUCGGAGUAACAUUGCAGUACCUGAAGCUCGCACGGCGUUGUGAUGCGGCGAUGUCAUCCACUUCUUAGGGUUUGGAAGCCCUGCAACUGGUAGGCAAGAUAAAAGCAGAGCAAAUGCAUCGUCAGGGAUCCUCUGAAACCUACGUGAUCUUUGACCAGAGUGUGCAUGCAACAUCUGCAGACAAGCUUUCAUUGGCCCCCGCUGACGAUUGCUUGCGCAGAGCUUUCAUUCUCGAAAUGUCAGGAAAAUUUGCGGAGCUGAGUAUAAUGAUGGUGCAAACCAGGAUGAAUUUAUAUGAUCCACAGGCUCCGAGACUUGGAGCCUUGAAUCCCUAACCAGGCUGCUGCUUCUGUACUCAUUCAGGUACCCACUUGGACGCUGCACCACGAAUCGCAUGCCACACUUAACUGUGGUGGGUAAGUGUGAUAUUUAAGAACGUGUGUUACGCACAAGCUUUUUGGCCUCUGUUGCCAGGGGCUUGUAUUCAUCGGGAAACCUGAAACUCCUGACUCAAUCCUGAUAAAUCUGGAAGGGGUUACAGCAGCUGAGGACAUUGGUCAGCAAUGGCUGAAUGCACCGCUUCUUUUCUUCGACGAUAACAUGGAUUAGUGCUGGAGUCAAGCAUAGAUUCCAGCCGCUUGGAUUGGUAAGUCAGAAGAUCGCUCGUGUGUUGUCACUCCGGUGAGCGAAGUUGCGAUGAGCGUAAAUUGGUGCCGAUCAUGAUGCGCUGCCAAGGCCAUGCGGGGGUCCGAGCACAGUUUUGCGUCAUUUGCUGCAGCUGGGCUGAGAAUUUCAGAAAGGGCAUCUAAGCAGAGCCGAUGCAGCACGAGCUCCGCGGCAUCGGACCAAAGAAAGGGAUAUCGUCCUCCACUUCGCUUUCCUCCGGCAAACUUACAGGAGGAUCUCUGUGGCUGAUUCAAGACCCCCAGUCGAGACGUGCAUCAUUUGCUGAUCUUACUGAAGGAAAUCGCUACUUCUGUGUUGCAUCCUGCAGAUGCAAUCUUCUGCAGCAAAGAAGCAAGUUCAAUUCUACGGGGUUGAAGCGUCGGUGAGUAUGACAGAUCUCAAAGGGUUGUAGCUUUGGACGCGGCCAUGUCACUCCGCCCGAUCGCGUCGGUGGCCUCCACCGCCGAACCCCCGUGUCUGCCUGUCCAUGGCCGCUUCGGCGAUGACCUGUUCGUCCACCUCGGAGGGGGCACCGAGCCACCGACACACCGACAUACCGACAGAAU